rnacentral:rRNA from 1 species
CGGACGGGAUUGAGGUUAGAGCUUGCUUUGAUUUCAUGAGAGUGGCGCACGGGUGCGUAACGCGUGAGCAACCUACCCAUAUCAGGGGGAUAGCCUCUCGAAAGAGAGAUUAACACCGCAUAACAUCAUUUACCGGCAUCGGAUUAUGAUCAAAUAUUUAUAGGAUAUGGAUGGGCUCGCGUGACAUUAGCUAGUUGGAGGGGUAACGGCCCACCAAGGCUACGAUGUCUAGGGGCUCUGAGAGGAGAAUCCCCCACACUGGUACUGAGACACGGACCAGACUCCUACGGGAGGCAGCAGUAAGGAAUAUUGGUCAAUGGAGGGAACUCUGAACCAGCCAUGCCGCGUGCAGGAUGACUGCCCUAUGGGUUGUAAACUGCUUUUGUCAGGGAAUAAACCUUUCCACGUGUGGGAAGCUGAAUGUACCUGAAGAAUAAGGAUCGGCUAACUCCGUGCCAGCAGCCGCGGUAAUACGGAGGAUCCAAGCGUUAUCCGGAUUUAUUGGGUUUAAAGGGUGCGUAGGCGGUCCUAUAAGUCAGUGGUGAAAGACGGCAGCUUAACUGUCGCAGUGCCUUUGAUACUGUAGGACUUGAAUCUAUUUGAAGUGGGCGGAAUAAGACAAGUAGCGGUGAAAUGCAUAGAUAUGUCUUAGAACUCCGAUUGCGAAGGCAGCUCACUAAGUUAGUAUUGACGCUGAUGCACGAAAGCGUGGGGAUCAAACAGGAUUAGAUACCCUGGUAGUCCACGCCCUAAACGAUGAUAACUCGAUGUUUGCGAUACACAGUAAGCGUCCAAGCGAAAGCGUUAAGUUAUCCACCUGGGGAGUACGGUCGCAAGAUUGAAACUCAAAGGAAUUGACGGGGGCCCGCACAAGCGGA